GAGUCUUAAUUGGGCGUUAAGUUGCAGGGUAUAGACCCGAAACCCGGUGAUCUAGCCAUGGGCAGGUUGAAGGUUGGGUAACACUAACUGGAGGACCGAACCGACUAAUGUUGAAAAAUUAGCGGAUGACCUGUGGCUGGGGGUGAAAGGCCAAUCAAACCGGGAGAUAGCUGGUUCUCCCCGAAAGCUAUUUAGGUAGCGCCUCGUGAAUUCAUCUCCGGGGGUAGAGCACUGUUUCGGCUAGGGGGCCAUCCCGGCUUACCAACCCGAUGCAAACUGCGAAUACCGGAGAAUGUUAUCACGGGAGACACACGGCGGGUGCUAACGUCCGUCGUGAAGAGGGAAACAACCCAGACCGCCAGCUAAGGUCCCAAAGUCAUGGUUAAGUGGGAAACGAUGUGGGAAGGCCCAGACAGCCAGGAUGUUGGCUUAGAAGCAGCCAUCAUUUAAAGAAAGCGUAAUAGCUCACUGGUCGAGUCGGCCUGCGCGGAAGAUGUAACGGGGCUAAACCAUGCACCGAAGCUGCGGCAGCGACACUCAGGUGUUGUUGGGUAGGGGAGCGUUCUGUAAGCCUGUGAAGGUGGCCUGUGAGGGUUGCUGGAGGUAUCAGAAGUGCGAAUGCUGACAUAAGUAACGAUAAAGCGGGUGAAAAGCCCGCUCGCCGGAAGACCAAGGGUUCCUGUCCAACGUUAAUCGGGGCAGGGUGAGUCGACCCCUAAGGCGAGGCCGAAAGGCGUAGUCGAUGGGAAACGGGUUAAUAUUCCCGUACUUGGUGUUACUGCGAAGGGGGGACGGAGAAGGCUAUGUUGGCCGGGCGACGGUU
rnacentral:rRNA from 1 species